CUCGCUAUUCGGCCAUUGGGCUAAGAUCAAGUGUAGUAUCUGUUCUUAUCAGUUUAGUAUCUGAUAUGUCCUCUAUAUGAGGGCUCUAUAUUAAGCAGGUUUUAAAGCUGGGAGCCGGAAACGGGGCUUGCUCCGUCUGCUCCACGCGUAGGCCUGGUAUUGCAGUACUUCCGGGCUUGGUGCACCAUUU